AAAAUAUACAUAUAACUCUAUGUGCUUUGAUCGAGCGUGAAAAACAGGGUUUGAAGCUAGGGCUGCUGUACUAAGAUUAUCACACCAGGCGACUGGAAUUCUUCUCAGAUGUAGACUGAUUUCUUGGAUUAAAGACUAAAUCCAAGCAAUCUCUGUAGCAAGAUCUACUAGCGCUUUACACUUAGACUCAGCACUGGACCUCGACACCACCUUCUUCUUCUUUGCCAACCAAGAAAUCAGGGAGUCACCAAGGUAGACGCAAUAUCCACCCAUUAAGCGACAAUCAUCCGGGCACACACCCUAAUCGGCGUCUGAAAAUCCCUACAAGGUGAUGAUAUGGGACUUUGAACAGAGACUUCAAGUUCAGUCUGUGUUCUAUAGGACUUAGAGGCUGAGAGAUCUCUUGUAGCAGGCAGCAUGCUUACGUUAGCUGGCUUUGGCAGAGAUGCUGAUUCAGAUAGAGCUAUGUCUUCUGUAGGAGCUGUGAUGAAUUCGUCAGCAGGAGCGUUUGUUGGAUAUCGUUUGCUCAUGGAUGAUAAUAGAGGUUGAAAGAAGGCUCCUGGAUGUACUUAUUCUUUAGGACAAUCAAGACGGUUGAGAUCAUUUGUCACAUGGCUUGUGGCCCCACUGUUUACAUACCAAGCAUUAUCAUUGAUAGUCUUUGGACUUGCCCAGUAGGCUGAAUAGUCUAAGUUGAAACUCGAAACUCCAGCUGCAUUGUUUGGUUUCUUCUUUUCAGAUCUCACAAAGGAUUUGUCGUAGCGAUAGAAGCACGUCUCAAUAGUGUGACUGAGGCGAUGACACAACUGGCAUUUUGGAUUUUCUUCAUUAAAGAAACUGCUAUUACUAUCUCUGGGUUUAUUAUAUUGUUCUUGCGACCUUUGCCACGAUUUCUGCGACCAUCUCGACCACUCCUCCAAUUAUUAUACCAAGUAGGAAAUUGUUCAGAUCUUGCAUAGUUAACAAAGGUGGAAAUGGGCUACUGAGAGAGCUGAGAUUGUUGAUCAAGCCUGUUAUGAAGUUCAUAAUGAAAUGACACCCAAGUCAGGUCACAAGCUUCUCUUCCAAGCUGAACCACUAUGGGGUUAUAUUUAGCAUCAAUGCCAGCUAAAGUUUGCACGAUCAAAUCUGGUAGAGGAAUAGUACAACCAGCAAUUGACAGCUGUUAAGAUAGACCCUUCAUCUUAGCAAGUUACUCAGCCAUUUUCAUUAAACCUUUCCUUAUGCGUGUGAACUUUGCUUUCAGCAUAAGAACUCGAGCCUUAGUUUGUGCUCUAGCAAACUAUUUUAUAGAUUCCCAGAGACCAGCUGAUUUAAAAACAGACACCAUUUAAGACGACACCUCAAGUGUCAUGGUGUUGAGGAGCUACCCAAGAAGCAAUUGAUCAGCUGCUACCCAAUCUUCGAAUUCUAGAUUAAGUUUUGUUUGACCAUCCACAGUGAUGAACUGAGAGGGGCACUCCACUGUACCAUUUAAAAAGCCUUCUAGCUUGUGACCUUUGAUUGUGGGAAGCAUGUGGGUGCGCCAUACAAGGUAGUUUGUUCCAUCCAGCUUGAUAGAACAGACUUGGCUUAGGGUAUUACCCCCUUGGAGUUUUGGUAGGGACGUAGCAGAAGAGACCAGUGUCUUAGAACUUGUCAUCAUCUUUUUGGAAGCUGUAGAUUGCUCUCUAGUGCUCUCUGUCAUGGCUUCUUACCUAGUUGGCUCUGAUACCAGGACAAUAUUUUAGGGUUUUGUAAUAGUGGCACGCUGGCCAAUGUGCUUUACAUUACUAAAACCUAGAUUGUACAAGAUGUUUACACGUGUAAUAUGAUACAAAUCAAUGAAUAGUAAAGGCAAACUAAAGUUAGUGCUAUUGUACAAAUGGACUCUCUUCUAUUGCUAGUGGGCUUCUUUUAGGCCUAUGGUCUUUUGUUUUAACAGUAACAGUCUGAUUGAUCAGAGUUUUCCUAUAGCCAA